rnacentral:lncRNA from 1 species
AGGAUUUGAAGGGCAACCAGGCAUUCCCUGGUGGAGGUGAGAAAGGGAGAAGAGGGUUUCAUGCAGACAGGAGAGCCUGGAACUUUUGGAGCAGCACUGUAAUUCUCUAGGGGUGGAGCUUAGGCUGCUUGAGACAAAGUGGCAGGAGGUGAGUCUGGAAAGAAGACAAGACAAAGAAGAUGUUGAAGGUGGUGGUCCAAGCUAAGGAGCAGGACUCUGAUCCAGGAAGGGAAGCUGGAAAGAGGGCUAAUCAGAUUCCCAUUGUAGGGAGAUCAUCACGGGAUGACCCAGAUGAAAGUGAGACUCCAAACAGGAGCAGCAGUCAGGCAUUGUGCCCACAUCCACUGCAGAGGAGGAGGAAUGGGCAAAAGGUGAAGUCACUGCAAACACUGAGUACAGGAAGAAAGCUGAGGCUUGUCUUCAUCUUGCAAGAUGUCUGGGCACCUAAUGCUUCGGAAGACGUUGGUUCUCAGAAGGUCAUGCCGGCAUCCAGGGGCAAAAUCUGGGUCUGCUUGACCGAGGACUCCGCAAAUCCCAGAGCAGGCCUGAACCGGGAUUCUCUUGAAGUGUAAGUGCUGCACUGUGAACCCGGGAGGCAUUCACUAAAUAUUGUGGAAGAUGACGUGAGUGGAGCCAUAUUAAAAUAGAGCCAGAGCAGCCACUUUGGAGGCAUUGCCUUGCACAUCUUGUUUUCCCUAUCUUGCAAACUGGACCAAAAUGCCAACAUUCCAAGAAGUCAGUAAGGAUAAGAAUAUCCUGUCUGUAAGGACUGAUGAAACUAGACUUUUCUGAUGACUGCAUUGCUAACCAAUCAGUGAAGUACAAGUCUAGCGUUUGCCUGAAGAUCGACCUCAGGUCAAUCUAAGAAGUCGAAAUCCAGCCUCACCUUACCCAACACCAACGCACUCUUCUUUAAUACAGCUCACUUCAUCCUCCCCCUUUGCCAUAAAAACCCUAAGCUCUUCUCCUAUAAUCAGGACACUAUUUGGGUUUGUACGUGAAUCUGUGCUCCCCAAAUUGCAAUUCGUUGAUCCCAAAAAAACGCUUUGCCUCUUAAACUGGUUUCUGUUUUUGUGGGUUGACAAUAUCUUCUUGAAUCUGGGGUCAGGACAUCUGGGUUUGAGGCUUGCAAUUAGUGGCUGUGUGACCCAGGUCGUCAGAUCUUUCUCAGUCUCACUUCUCUGUAAAAUUAGGAUGUUGAACUAGAUGAUCUUUAAGGUCCCUUCCAAAUCUCAGAUUCUAUGAUUCAGUGUAGUCUAUUCUUACCCCUGAAAAAAUAAGUCUAAACAUAAGCCUUACUGAUGAUGGGUGUAGUUGGCCACUGGGUUCGAGAUGAACACAAAUUCUUUGAUCCUCUUCCCAGAGAGAGGUGGGGUAUUUCCCCUCCUCAUGAUUCUGGGCUGCACUGUGACUUGCUUUGACCAGUAAUAGACUGCAGCAGAAGUGACACUGUGUCAGUUCUGGGCACAGUAAAUGGGCAUCUGAGGCAGGAUUGGGGUGAGGUAGGGGGAUAGAAGGUGAGGAAGAAAUUGCAAACACCGGGGGACUCCAAAGAAAGGCCUCUAAUAGGGUCUGGCUUUAUGUGUCCUGGAACACUUGCUGUUAGGGGCCUGAACUCUCAUGUAAGAAGUCUGGCCACUUUGCUGGAGAGACUACAUGAGGAGGCCUUGAGUCUGCAUGGAGACAGAGGGGCCCAUGGAGUCCAGCCUCACAGCCACCCCUGCCGAGGUGUCAGGUAUGUGAGUAAAAUUGUUUUGGACCCUCCAGAUCAGCUCCACCACUAGCUGAAUACCACUGAGUGAUCCCAGUGGAGGCCGCCUGGAGCAGGAGAACCACCUGGCUGAGCCCUGCCCUUUUUC